GACGAACGCUGGCGGCGUGCUUAACACAUGCAAGUCGAACGGAAAGGCCCUGCUUUUGUGGGGUGCUCGAGUGGCGAACGGGUGAGUAACACGUGAGUAACCUGCCCUUGACUUUGGGAUAACUUCAGGAAACUGGGGCUAAUACCGGAUAGGAGCUCCUGCUGCAUGGUGGGGGUUGGAAAGUUUCGGCGGUUGGGGAUGGACUCGCGGCUUAUCAGCUUGUUGGUGGGGUAGUGGCUUACCAAGGCUUUGACGGGUAGCCGGCCUGAGAGGGUGACCGGCCACAUUGGGACUGAGAUACGGCCCAGACUCCUACGGGAGGCAGCAGUGGGGAAUAUUGCACAAUGGGCGGAAGCCUGAUGCAGCAACGCCGCGUGCGGGAUGACGGCCUUCGGGUUGUAAACCGCUUUCGCCUGUGACGAAGCGUGAGUGACGGUAAUGGGUAAAGAAGCACCGGCUAACUACGUGCCGGCAGCCGCGGUGAUACGUAGGGCGCGAGCGUUGUCCGGAUUUAUUGGGCGUAAAGGGCUCGUAGGUGGUUGAUCGCGUCGGAAGUGUAAUCUUGGGGCUUAACCCUGAGCGUGCUUUCGAUACGGGUUGACUUGAGGAAGGUAGGGGAGAAUGGAAUUCCUGGUGGAGCGGUGGAAUGCGCAGAUAUCAGGAGGAACACCAGUGGCGAAGGCGGUUCUCUGGGCCUUUCCUGACGCUGAGGAGCGAAAGCGUGGGGAGCGAACAGGCUUAGAUACCCUGGUAGUCCACGCUGUAAACGGUGGGUACUAGGUGUGGGGUCCAUUCCACGGGUUCCGUGCCGUAGCUAACGCUUUAAGUACCCCGCCUGGGGAGUACGGCCGCAAGGCUAAAACUCAAAGGAAUUGACGGGGCCCCGCACAAGCGGCGGAGCAUGCGGAUUAAUUCGAUGCAACGCGUAGAACCUUACCUGGGUUUGACAUGGAUCGGGAGCGCUCAGAGAUGGGUGUGCCUCUUUUGGGGUCGGUUCACAGGUGGUGCAUGGCUGUCGUCAGCUCGUGUCGUGAGAUGUUGGGUUAAGUCCCGCAACGAGCGCAACCCUUGUUCACUGUUGCCAGCACGUUAUGGUGGGGACUCAGUGGAGACCGCCGGGGUCAACUCGGAGGAAGGUGGGGAUGACGUCAAGUCAUCAUGCCCCUUAUGUCCAGGGCUUCACGCAUGCUACAAUGGCUGGUACAGAGAGUGGCGAGCCUGUGAGGGUGAGCGAAUCUCGGAAAGCCGGUCUCAGUUCGGAUUGGGGUCUGCAACUCGACCUCAUGAAGUCGGAGUCGCUAGUAAUCGCAGAUCAGCAACGCUGCGGUGAAUACGUUCCCGGG
rnacentral:rRNA from 1 species